AUUGAACGCUGGCGGCAGGCCUAACACAUGCAAGUCGAACGGUAACAGGAAGAAGCUUGCUUCUUUGCUGACGAGUGGCGGACGGGUGAGUAAUGUCUGGGAAACUGCCUGAUGGAGGGGGAUAACUACUGGAAACGGUAGCUAAUACCGCAUAACGUCGCAAGACCAAAGAGGGGGACCUUCGGGCCUCUUGCCAUCGGAUGUGCCCAGAUGGGAUUAGCUAGUAGGUGGGGUAACGGCUCACCUAGGCGACGAUCCCUAGCUGGUCUGAGAGGAUGACCAGCCACACUGGAACUGAGACACGGUCCAGACUCCUACGGGAGGCAGCAGUGGGGAAUAUUGAACAAUGGGCGCAAGCCUGAUGCAGCCAUGCCGCGUGUAUGAAGAAGGCCUUCGGGUUGUAAAGUACUUUCAGCGGGGAGGAAGGGAGUAAAGUUAAUACCUUUGCUCAUUGACGUUACCCGCAGAAGAAGCACCGGCUAACUCCGUG
rnacentral:rRNA from 1 species